CGCAAGCGCACGCGCCGGAGAAAGGCUCCGGGGCUAACACGACCCCGCCCGCUUAGUGGUCUCCCUAGCGGCAGAGGUGCAGCUGUGGGUGCCUGGGAGGCUUAGGGUCGCCCUGAAGUAUGCCCACGUGUGAUGCCACAUUCCUCCAGCCCUCCAUUUAUAGAGUUGUCCGAAGGAAAUGCGUCCCUAACCUUGGGCACAACGAAGGCGAUAUCCAGUCUUCUGGCUCCGCUUCCGCCUGUCCAUUUGCAGGAAUUUGAUUCUGAGAUUUGGGGAGAGAGGUUUGGAAUUUGGUUCUAAAGACUGCGCUAUGGCUGAGGGAGGGUCUGCGCGCAUAUUUGUACCGGAAGAAAAGAAGGGCCCACGGUAGUACGUGUACUUAACUGGGCAGCGGGAACUGAACGCCCAACGGUUUGAACACACCAACCUGCCUCUCGUGGUGCUGCUGGAGAGGCCCAGGCUGGAGACGUGGCCGAUUCUUAACCGUGGAAGAGUAUGAAAAGAUCCAGAGGUGACUCUACUGCGCAGCUAAAGAGCCACCGAGCUACAUGGAGCUUCAGAGAAGACUAAAAAUUACACAAAGAAGAGCACAGGAGAUGGGAGCAGAAACUCCUGUGCCACCCAUGGCUCCCAGGCAGUGCCCCCUGGUUGGGAGGAAGAAGAUUUGCUUACUGGGCAAAUCCUGGCCAUCUGUGCCACUGGAAGUACUGGCAGAAGAAUGAAGCACACUGAAACAACAAGAAGGGGGAAUGGCCUUUCUUCCCUGGUUUUGUGAAUUAUUUAUCUUGAACCCCUAAAUAGAACUGAUAAAGCAACUGCCCUGUCCUCACAAGCCUCCCCUCUUUGGCUGAGGGCUGCCUUCAGAAAACACACUUUUCAUGCUCAGUUUGUUUUAGGCUGUUGCAGCUGCUAACAAAACACCUUAGACCAGGUAAUUGAAAAACAACACAGCAUUUUUUGCUCCCAGUUCCAAAGGCUGGAAAAUCCAAGAACAAAAUGCCACUAGCUUAAAGGUCUUGUGAGGGGCCCCUUCUACACCUACCCACAUCSUGGAAGGGACAAAAGGAACUAAUAAGCUCUCUCAAGCCUCUUGUGGGCACUAAUCCCUUUGUGAAGAUCUGUCCUCGUGACCUUUUGGUCUAAAAACAAAAGCAAAGCAACAACAGUUCGGUACCAUCACCUUGAGGGUUAGGUUUCAAAAAGAAUUUUGGGUCUAUCAAGCUCCUAGUCUACCAUGCUAGAAGUUAGUAUUAUUAAGAUUUUUGUUUUGAGAUGGGAUCCUGCUGUUUUGCCCAUGCUGGUCUUGAAUUCCAGCAAUCCUCCUGCCUCAGUGUGUGGGACUACAGG
rnacentral:lncRNA from 1 species